rnacentral:rRNA from 1 species
UUCUGGCUCAGGAUAAACGCUGGCGGCGUGCAUAACACAUUCAAGUCGAACGAAGCUCCGGAACUUGCUUGCAAGGGAAGGAAGACUUAGUGGCGGACGGGUGAGUAACGCGUGAGCAAUCUGCCUCGGGGGUGCGGGAUAACGUCUGGAAACGGACGCUAAUACCGCAUGACGCACACUGAUCGCAUGGUCGGUAUGCCAAAGAUUUAUUGCCCUGAGAUGAGCUCGCGUCCGAUUAGACAGUUGGCGGGGUAACGGCCCACCAAAUCAACGAUCGGUAGCCGGACUGAGAGGUUGAACGGCCACAUUGGAACUGAGAUACGGUCCAGACUCCUACGGGAGGCAGCAGUGGGGAAUAUUGGGCAAUGGGCGAAAGCCUGAACCCCAGCGACGCCGCGUGAGGGAAGAAGGUCUUCGGAUUGUAAACCUCUUUCAGCAGGGAAGAAGGAAGUGACGGUACCUGCAGAAGAAGCCACGGCUAACUACGUGCCAGCCGCAGC